GUCUCGUCGGCAGAGUGGAUAAUGCGCAGGCCUUGAGAGCCUGUGGACCUUCUGGUCCGCGCGGGUUCGAAUCCCUCUCCCGGCGCCA
rnacentral:tRNA from 1 species